rnacentral:rRNA from 1 species
UACGAAGGGUGCAAACGUUGCUCGGAAUUAUUGGGCGUAAAGCGCACGUAGGCGGCUUGGCAAGUCGGAUGUGAAAUCCCUCGGCUCAACCAAGGAAGUGCAUCCGAAACUGCUAAGCUUGAGUACUUAAGAGGAUCGCGGAAUUCCCGGUGUAGAGGUGAAAUUCGUAGAUAUCGGGAGGAACACCAGUGGCGAAGGCGGCGAUCUGGGAAGAUACUGACGCUGAGGUGCGAAAGCGUGGGGAGCAAACAGG